GCUCCUUGCAGGCAGAUUAGCUGUCAAAGUGCUUUAUAGGCAGAUGCAUACCUGAUGCAGGGGGUUAGCUCUAUGGAGCUCCACAGUGGAUGUGUCAUAAUACCCAUAAAACAUAGCGGUGAAACACAGGAAUGGUUCCAAUCGUUUUUUCCAUAGGGGAUUUCAGAACCACUUCAAACAAGGUCUGUGUUUCAUGUAGGCUUUCCCUGCCAUGAUGUUUUCAUAGAGAUUUACACUUAUCGAACAACGUAACCUUUAUAAAUAUAUUCAUCUCUAUUAACGCAGAUUAGAAAAUGGUAAUUAUCAAAGUAGACAUCAUGCAAGACUACAAAUCCUUGCAAGCACCCCAUCUAUCUUCAGAGUUCGUUCUGCUAGGUGACCUAAACUGGGAUAUGCUUAACAUCCCGGAAGCCCUACAAUCUAAGCUAGAUGCCCUCAAUCUCACACAAAUUAUCAAGGAACCCACCAGGUACAACCCUAAAUCCGUAAACAUGGGCACCCUCAUAGAUAUUAUCCUGACCAACUUGCCCUCUGCUGUUUUCAAUCAGGAUCUCAGCGAUCACUGCCUCAUUGCCUGCAUCUGCUAUGGGUCCGUGGUCAAACGACCACCCCUCAUCACUGUCAAACGCUCCCUAAAACAGGCCUUUCUAAUCAACCUGGGCCGGGAAUCCUGGAAGGAUAUUGACCUCAUCUUGUCAGUCGAGGAUGCCUGGUCGUUCUUUAAAAAAAAAAAAAGAAUAUGUUUAUUAUUUUACAAUAAAAAAAAUCAAAUAAAAAAGACAGCAAUACUAACAAUGACAUUCAUUGUACUGUUGAAUGGGAUGGCCAAUUUAGAGGACAAACAAAACUUAACUCACAAAUACACAAAAUAAAACAAAAUCCUAUUAGAUGGUACAUGUAUAAGAAGACAGCAUAUAGUCAUUACAAGCAGUGUAGUUAAGCCAAAAAUAAAUAUUGAGUGGAGUGGAGUGCAGCACAGAGGAGCAGCAGAUCAACAACCAAGUUAUGAAGCGG
ensembl:lncRNA